rnacentral:rRNA from 1 species
UACAGAGGUCUCAAGCGUUGUUCGGAUUCAUUGGGCGUAAAGGGUGCGUAGGUGGCAUGGUAAGUCGGAUGUGAAAUCCCGGGGCUUAACCCCGGAACUGCAUUCGAUACUGCUGAGCUAGAGUACUGGAGAGGAGAUUGGAAUUUACGGUGUAGCAGUGAAAUGCGUAGAUAUCGUAAGGAAGACCAGUGGCGAAGGCGGAUCUCUGGACAGUUACUGACGCUGAGGCACGAAGGCCAGGGGAGCAAACGGG